rnacentral:lncRNA from 1 species
UAUUUUGACUUAUGUAUAUGUACAUAUUUGUAGCUUAUCGGGGAUAUCAAUAAAUAAGCUUUCCUUCAUUUCAAUGUAUUGUGUUAAUUACACCAAAGCCUUAUUCGCUAAGUUCUUUGAAUUUUCUUUUGUUGAAGCUUUGUGAGUGGAGCAUGUAGGUUGAGGUAGUGUUCCCUUAAUUUCCUGAGUGAGGAAAACUUCUCGGUUGGAGACUUGGAAAAUCCAAGUCACUGAGUGGGAUCGGCUAUAUGAAUCUUAGAACACCAUUGUGCUCGGUCCUGUGUCAUGUCCUUCGUUAGAUCCAAGCACUCUAAGUCUUUUCUUAGAGUCUCUUCCAAAGUUUUCCUAGGUCUUCCUC